CGGCAAAACAAAAUUGGGGUUCCACGUUGUUAGCGCAUUAUGUCAAAGGGUUCCAUGGGAAAAAUUUAUUGGGAACCCCUGCUCUAGUGGUAACUAGUGUAUAUGUGUAAAAAAUCAGCAAAUUUCACACAUAAUUUCAACCCCUGUUUCAAAAAAGCAUGAAUCCUAUAAGAAUAACAAAAAAUUAAAUAAUACUCUGACAAUUACUAGCCUAAGCCCCCUAAGUAGUGAAUUUAUACCAUGGGACCUUGGGGUCAUGUCUACCAUAAACUGUUUAAAUAGAUUAAGCUAAAGGGGUCUUAAACUUUAUUUAAAGGGACACUAUAGGGUCAGGAACACAAACAUGUACUCCUGAACCUAUAGUAUUAAAACCACCAUCUAGCCUUCCUGACUCCCCCUUGCCUCCCUAAUUAUAGUAAAAUCUUACUUGUAUUGAAGUAUGCAGCUGAUGCCUCUGCCCCUGAUCUGCCUGUUUGGCUGAAAUUAUCAGAAGUUGUGUUCUGAGCCAAUUACAAUGCUUUCACAUAGGAUUGGCUGAGACGGUCAAGGAGGCAGAUCAGUGGCAGAGUCAGCACAAGCCAAACACAGCCCUG